rnacentral:tRNA from 1 species
GGUUUGGUGGUGUAGUUGGUUAUCACGUUCGCCUCACAAGUCAUCGACUGCGUGCGCGAAAGGUCCCGAGUUCGAACCUCGGCUAAAUCA